AACGAACGCUGGCGGCAGGCUUAACACAUGCAAGUCGAGCGCCCCGCAAGGGGAGCGGCAGACGGGUGAGUAACGCGUGGGAAUCUACCGUACCCUACGGAAUAGCUCUGGGAAACUGGAAUUAAUACCGUAUACGCCCUACGGGGGAAAGAUUUAUCGGGGUAUGAUGAGCCCGCGUUGGGUUAGCUAGUUGGUGGGGUAAAGGCCUACCAAGGCGACGAUCCAUAGCUGGUCUGAGAGGAUGAUCAGCCACAUUGGGACUGAGACACGGCCCAAACUCCUACGGGAGGCAGCAGUGGGGAAUAUUGGACAAUGGGCGCAAGCCUGAUCCAGCCAUGCCGCGUGAGUGAUGAAGGUCUUAGGAUUGUAAAGCUCUUUCACCGAUGAAGAUAAUGACGGUAGUCGGAGGAGAAGCCCCGGCUAACUUCGUGCCAGCCGCCGCGGUAAAAC
rnacentral:rRNA from 1 species